UUCUGAGACAGAAGUUCAGCACUGUGAUGAACCCUCAUGAUAUGAUCAUGCCUGACACGAAACAGCAGCUCUUCUCACGGUUUAAGGUUUCCACAAUAGAAAGUCGAAAGCAGGUGUCAAGCAAAGAUGUUCUCACCUGCACGGACGACAUUCACGCCAUAGUGUGCAUAACUUGAUCCAGAGCACUCUGGCCAUGACCAACAGUCAGAUGAAGUCCUCCAGAUCCUUUCAGACCUUCCACAUAUACUGUAAGUAUAACCAGGAGCUGCUGUGCCAAGUGUUCAUACAGUGCAGGAAGAGGGGUCUGGUCAACCGACGUCGGAUCAAUCAGUCGUUUGGGCCGAAGAAAAACCGAGCGUUGCCCAUCCUGCCCAUGUCCUACCAGCUGUCCCAGUCCUAUUACAGGUGUUUUUCCUGGCGCUUUCCUCACUCGCUCUGCACUGAUUCAUUCCGCUUUUUGAGGAGUCUAAUUAACAAUGGGACAAGAGAUGACAGAUCUAUUACUGCGUUUUACCAUGAAACUGAAAACAGGCUAGAGAAUGAGGA